rnacentral:rRNA from 1 species
UACAGGAGGGGCAAGCGUUAUUCGGAAUUAUUGGGUCGUAAGGGCGCGUAGGCGGCUUGGCAAGUGGAAUGGUGAAACUCCCUACGGGCUUAAACCGACGGAACUGCCGUCCCAAACUGCUUCGCUUGAGACCGGGAGAGGUGAGUGGAAUUCCCAGAUGUAGCGGUGAAAUGCGUAGAUAUUGGGAGGAACACCAGUGGCGAAGGCGGCUCACUGGACCGGUACUGACGCUGAUGCGCGAAAGCG